GCGGGUAUCGUAUAUCGGCUAUUAUAUGACCUUCCCAAGGUCGAGAGACGGGUUCGACUCCCGUUACCCGCUCCA
rnacentral:tRNA from 2 species